rnacentral:rRNA from 1 species
CUCAAAGAUUAAGCCAUGCAAGUGGUUAUAUUAACCCGACAGUUUAAAUAAGUGUUAAAUGCUACCAUUAAACUUAUGCAAUAUCACGCACACACACACACACAUAUGAUUUUGUUUACAGUAGUAACAAUUUCAGCGUGAAUCACACCAUCACACAGUGAAUCACUGAAAUUUACCCAAUAUCAGUAUCACUUACGCAACUGCAGACAGCUGCUUAAUACAGUCACACUUGUCUUGACUUGGCGUAAUAAAAAUAUUUCAUUCAAUACACUGCUUAAACGCAGUGCAGAGGGUGAAUUUUUUUAUUUUGUUGCAUCACACGCACAAAAUUUUUUGAUUUCUCUGUAUCGCUUAUUCUCAAGGACAUGCGUUACACCGUGACAAUUUUCUUUAUGGAUAACUCAGGGAAAGUUUGGCUAAUACGUACGAGUAAUAUACCUCACACACACACACACAAUUCAAAAUUUUUUGUUUUGCGCCGUGUAUCGACAACACACACACACACACACAAUCACUACUCAGCACUCAGUGGUACACUUUGAGUGCGUUCGCGCAUUCAGUUUAAAGUUUAACUGCAACAUGAGAGACAUUGAGCACGCACGUGUCGUACCUUCGGGUACUUCACAUCACGCUGAGCAGACUUUGCGAAGUAUACUGUGCGAAGCAUGUCAUACAAGCAUCUACAGCAUCAAGUCACAGGGUUGGCAAGUGUAUUUUUGAACCUUCAAAGCAGUCACGCAUACGGAAGAGUAGUUUCUGAUCCCAUAGAAGGAGCACCGUACAAUGAGAGACCGCUCUUAGUUCUAAGGAACGCAGCAGGCGCGUACAUUGCCCAAUGCUAGUACCCUACAAUCAAAUUGUAUUUACAUGCGUUAACAAUUUACAACAUUACAACAAAGUUUAUUACACACAUAUAACACUAUAUUUUUUCUGUUACCCAACAGAAUUUAUUUAUUCUAAACAUCCUUGUUCGUUGUUUAUUCAGCACGAUGAUAUUAAUUUAUUAUUUUACUGAGGCAGUGACAAGCUGUAACGGUUGAGUAUAAAAAUGACGAGUGUCUGGCAUUGCCGCUCUUUCGGGAGCUUGGCAAGUUGCCGACGCUUUGUGUGCUCAAUUGGAAUGCGGUGAGUUUAAGCAACUCAGAACCUUUGAACGGUGUUAGUAAAAUUUCACUGUUUAUGUAUCUGAAUUUCAAGUGGAGGGCAAGUCUGGUGCCAGCAGCCGCGGUAAUACCAGCUCCACUGGCCUAUACAAUCAUUGUUGCGGUUAAGAGGCUCGUAGUUGGAUUGAACUGCAAAUAUGAAUGAUUCUUAUCAUUCAGUUUUGAAGUUUUACGCUUAACCUUAAAUUUCCAAAUUUUUGGUUUUGCGUUCGACGCUGUUAAAAUUCUUACAAUUUCACGGUUGUACUAAUUUUUUUUACACGGCACAAAUUUUUUCUGCCGCCGCUUCGUAUAUAUAUUUUCCUCAUACACACAUACCACUGGGAUAAAUAUACGACGCAGCAUUUUUACACGCACACACACAACGCGGGAAAUCUUUGGAACUCAUGACACUCAUAGAAUUUAUUCUCCUUUCAUCNCUGUGAACAAAUCAAGUGUAUCAAACAUGUCRUUUUUGAAUGUGCAUUGAAUGUCUUAUCAUGGGAUGUUGCACUUUCGCCAUAGAAAUUUUUUACUGCAUCUUACGUGACGAAAAUAUUUUCUCACACACACACACACACACACGUACAUGUUUACAUAGCCACGUAUUAAAUUUUUAUCAACGGUAAAUUUUUUUUAACGGUUAAAAAUGUCGAUGGGGAUAGUUGGAGUCAACAGUACUGCUGGGCGAGAGGUGAAAUUCAUUGACCCUAGCAAGACUACCAAAAGCGAAAGCAGUUGGCUAGGCUAUACUCUUUGUGAUUAUUUAUUUAUGUGUUACGCCACUAAUUUAUACACACACACACACACGCAAAUAUUUUUUAGCGGCACACACAUUUAUAUUAUAUAUACACUUUACAAUGAAGAACGAAGGUUGGGGGAUCAAAGAGGAUCAGAUACCCUCGUCGUCCCAUUAAUUACAUCAAACGAUGGGCUCUCAAUUGCAUUUUUCAUUAAAUUGCAAAUUUCCUCAGCCUACAAAAUAACUUGGCUUGAGCUCGUAUUUUUAUACGCUCGCCUAAAUUUUUUCGUACGGUCUCGAUGGACGUUUCAUUUAAAAUUUUUUUGCGUGUAAGCAUUUGUUAUUCUUUGAAACAUAAGAAUGCAUUGCGUGCACUUGAUUUUCGGAGCUUUGCACUCAAUUCUGGUGAGAUGUAAGCACUGUGUCAUAUUACCCGCAGCGUAUAGCUUCGGCUAUUUCGUCUGUCGUGUGUAGUUGACAAUCUUGGUGUGAAGCACGCUUUAGGCACGCGCUUACUGCAGAAAUGUCUGAGACAUUCCCCUCCGGGGGUAGUAUGCACGCAAGUGUGAAACUUGAAGGAAUUGACGGAAGGGCACCACAAGAACGCGUGGAGCAUGUGGCUUAAUUUGACUCAACGCGGGAAAUCUUACCGGGUCCGGACACACUGAGGAUUGACAGGCAAUAUUAAUACGUCAGUUCGCCGUGUAUUAUGUUAAAUAUGCUAGUCCUUUCAUGAUUAUGUGAUAGGUGGUGCAUGGCCGUUCUUAGUUCGUGGAGUGAUCUGUCUGCUUAAUUGCGUUUCACUAAGGGCCUAUAAUUCUUACGUGUGUUGCAGCACUUUGACCCCUCAGCAAUGAGCGCGCGUCUUAGUUUGCUUGCUCGCACAAUUAGGUCCUGAAAGCAACGAACGUGACCGCAACCUCUUGUUGCCUUUAUACCAACAUGUUUUGUUUAUGUCUUUAUAGAUAUUCAUGAAAAAAGGCUUUUAAACUAGAGGGACCGCUGUUACUUUCUUAAACCCAGAGGAAGGUUGCGGCAAUAACAGGUCUGUGAUGCCCUUAGAUGUUCCGGGCUGCACACGUGCUACAAUGAUUAUUGCAGUGAGCAUCUCAUUUUUACACACCGCAUGCGCGAGUCUAUUUAUUCGUGUUCGCACGUUUUAAAUAUGUAUUUCUGCGCGCGGUAAAGCCUGCUUCGAAAGUAAGUGGGUAAUCAAUUAGAAGUAAUGAUUUCCUUUUUUUUAGCACACAUAUAUACGGCGUCUAUGCCCGGGCUGCCUUGUUGUAGCUUUUGUGCGUAUAGAUGUUUUUUCCGUAUGUGCGAUUGUCAAUUCAUGGUGGGGACAGACCAUUGUUAAUUGUUGGUCUCGGUCUUAACUAGGAAUGCCUUGUACGGGUCUUUGGUUCAACAAACCACCCGGAAUACGUCCCUGCCCUUUGUACACACCGCCCGUCGCUCUUACCGAUGGACUUCUCUGUGAGUUUGAGGGACUGGGAACGCAGAUUUAUCUGCACACCUAUGGAAACUUAAACGAACAGUGUGGUCUAAAGGAAAGAGAAGUCGUAACAAGGCAUCGGUAGGUGAACCU